rnacentral:snRNA from 1 species
AGCUCAAGAUCAAGUGUAGUGUCUGUUCUUAUCAGUUUAAUAUAUGAUAUGCGAGUCAUUGGCUCACACGAUAUUAAAUUCAUUUCUUUUGGGAGAAGGCCUGUUAUGGCUGCUUGCUGGCUGGAUCCUCAAGCGUCGCCCAUGCGUUGCACUAUUGCACGGGCCUGGCGCACCCCAC